UUGAGCGGAGAUAUAUGGAGCUUGCUUUAUAUAACUUAGCAGCGAACGGGAGAGUAACACGUAGAUAAUCUAUCCUAUACUGGGGGAUAGCCCGAUGAAAGUUGGAUUAAUACCGCAUAUAGCUAUAUAGUUGCAUGAUUAUGUAGUGAAAGAUUUAUUGGUAUAGGAGGAGUCUGCGGCACAUUAGCUAGUAGGUGAGGUAAAGGCUUACCUAGGCGACGAUGUGUAGCCGGUCUGAGAGGAUGAACGGCCACAAUGGAACUGAGACACGGUCCAUACUCCUACGGGAGGCAGCAGUGGGGAAUAUUGCACAAUGGGGGAAACCCUGAUGCAGCAACGCCGCGUGAGUGAAGAAGGUUUUCGGAUUGUAAAGCUCUGUUAGCGGGGAAGAGGAAGGACGGUACCUGCAGAGGAAGCCACGGCUAACUACGUGCCAGCAGCCGCGGUAAUACGUAGGUGGCAAGCGUUGUUCGGAAUAACUGGGCGUAAAGGAUGCGUAGGCGGUUAAACAAGUUAUAUGUUAAAUAUAUAGGCUUAACCUGUAGAAAGCAUAUAAAACUGUUUAACUAGAGUGCAGGAGAGGUAAGUGGAAUUCCUAGUGUAGCGGUGAAAUGCGUAGAGAUUAGGAAGAACACCAGUGGCGAAGGCGACUUACUGGACUGUAACUGACGCUGAGGCAUGAGAGCAUGGGGAGCAAACAGGAUUAGAUACCCUGGUAGUCCAUGCUGUAAACGAUGGGUACUAGGUGUGGGUUGUGAAUAACAAUUCGUGCCCGUCGCAAACGCAAUAAGUACCCCGCCUGAGG
rnacentral:rRNA from 1 species